CAAGUCGAGCGGAUGAAGGGAGCUUGCUCCUGGAUUCAGCGGCGGACGGGUGAGUAAUGCCUAGGAAUCUGCCUGGUAGUGGGGGAUAACGUCCGGAAACGGGCGCUAAUACCGCAUACGUCCUGAGGGAGAAAGUGGGGGAUCUUCGGACCUCACGCUAUCAGAUGAGCCUAGGUCGGAUUAGCUAGUUGGUGGGGUAAAGGCCUACCAAGGCGACGAUCCGUAACUGGUCUGAGAGGAUGAUCAGUCACACUGGAACUGAGACACGGUCCAGACUCCUACGGGAGGCAGCAGUGGGGAAUAUUGGACAAUGGGCGAAAGCCUGAUCCAGCCAUGCCGCGUGUGUGAAGAAGGUCUUCGGAUUGUAAAGCACUUUAAGUUGGGAGGAAGGGCAGUAAGUUAAUACCUUGCUGUUUUGACGUUACCAACAGAAUAAGCACCGGCUAACUUCGUGCCAGCAG
rnacentral:rRNA from 1 species